rnacentral:lncRNA from 1 species
CAGGAAUGAGGGUUUAUUUAAAAGGAGAAAAAAAAAAAAGAGCAGAGAGGAGAGCAGGUCCUUUGUCAGCAAAGCAAACAGCCGCCCGGCAGCGGGGCGGUUGGGCAAGGGCGCGGUGUUGCUCCAUCGCCCUAUUUCUGGCCCAAACCGCAGGAGAAAUGGCAGCGGGUCCUGGGGCCCGGCCGGACGUGCCGCAAUCGGGGGCGGGCAGAGGUUGGGGGACGGGGGGAGCCCCCCGCUCCCCGCUGGGCCCAUCCCCAGCGGCACACCUGCCUGCGCUGCCUGCACGGGGCAGCCGGACCGGGGGCUCAGGGUGCAGCUCCCAGCCCGGCUCCAGACCCGCUCCCUGACCCUUCGGCUGCCCGUGCCUGGGUCCCUGCUCCGGACCGGCUCACGAUCGUCCCCCCCACACCGGGGCUGCUCGGUGGCUGGGGCUCCUCGCCCCGGGGAGGGGUUCCUGCGGGGAGCGGGUGGCCCUGUCGCUGCUGUGGUGACAAUCCUUUAGGAAGGGGCUUCCCUGUUCCCCCUGCAGCAGCGGGCUCAGGGGUCUCGCCCCGGUGCAGAGGGACCCAGGAGCACCCGGGCAGGCGCCGGCCCUACGUCCCUUCGCCGAGGGCUCGGCCUCCUGCCUCAGUUCCCCCGUCUGCCCGCGGCGGCCCCGGCUCCGGCAGCAGCGCUCGCUUUCGGAGACCCAAACGCCUGCGACGUGCCGCCCGUGCUGCUGCCCGCUGUGGCUUUGCCAGAGCUGGCAUCGCUCCGGUGCUGCGUCAGCGCCGCGGCAGGGCCCCCCGCCGCCCCCCUCCCCGCCGCGGGUCGCCGGCGGCGCAAGGAAGCAGCGAGGUUUCGGCGCUGCUGGAGCAGCUCCGGGACGAUGGUUCCCAGGGCUGACGGCCCGCAGCUGGCUGCCUGUCAAAACCAUCUGGGGCUGCUGGAGCUCUUCCAGCUCCCGCGGGCAGGGCCGGGGCGUGCGGGACCCCCCGGGACCCCCCGGUGCGACGGGGUUGGCGGAGCGGACGGGUGGAGGUGCGGGGCCUCGCAUUUCAGGAACAGAUUUGCAAUUAGACAAAUCCCCGGCCGGGCGGUGGAAGCCCCGGGUGACUCAUCUGCUCUGGCUUACAGCGAUCCCCUUUCGAAGAUGAUCAUUUACAUAUGGUGGAAUUUAAACCCCAGCUCGCCUGUGAGGGCCAGCGCCGCCACCGCGCCCGCCCGCUCGGCUCCUCGCCCGGGGUCUCGACCCGCCGGUCCCGUGGGCCGUCAC